UACAGAGGUCUCAAGCGUUGUUCGGAUUCAUUGGGCGUAAAGGGUGCGUAGGUGGUGAUGCAAGUCUGGUGUGAAAUCUCGGAGCUCAACUCCGAAAUUGCACCGGAUACUGCGUGACUCGAGGACUGUAGAGGAGAUCGGAAUUCCCGGUGUAGUGGUGAAAUGCGUAGAUAUCGGGAGGAACACCAGUGGCGAAGGCGACUUCCUGGCCUGUUCUUGACGCUGAGGCGCGAAAGCUAGGGUAGCAAACGGG
rnacentral:rRNA from 1 species